CAAUAGCGUAUAUUAAAGUUGUUGCAGUUAAAAAGCUCGUAGUUGGAUUUCUGGUAGGAGUGACCGUUCCGAACUUGAUUGUUCGUGUAUUGUGUUUUCUCCAGCCAUCCUUGUGGAGAACUUUUCUUGCAUUAAUUUGUAGGGAUUGGGACCCGCAUCGUUUACUGUGAAAAAAUUAGAGUGUUUAAAGCAGGCAAUCGCUUGAAUACAUUAGCAUGGAAUAAUAAGAUAGGACUUUGGUACUAUUUUGUUGGUUUGCAUACCAAAUUAAUGAUCAACAGGAACAGUUUGAGGAUAUUCGUAUGAGCAUGUCAGAGGUGAAAUUCUUGGAUUUUGAUCAGACGAACUACUGCGAAAGCAUUUAUCAAGGAUGUUUUCAUUAA
rnacentral:rRNA from 1 species